rnacentral:misc_RNA from 1 species
UAACAGAUUACAAGUAUAACUAAAAGGGUAGUUAAACUAAUUAAAAUGUAACCGUAUGUGAAAAAAGUCAUUUUCCAUUGGAUAUUACAAAUGGUGUUUUUAUGAAUGAUCAUAACCAAUCAAAAUUUUAAUUAUAAGGACAUCUUGGAAAUAGUUUUUGAUAUAUUUUAUUGCAUAAUUUUAUUUAUUUUAUUGGAUAACUAAUGGUUCAACCAUUGAAGCAGUUGAUCUCUAAAUUGACCAGAUUGAUAGUUUGAUGGUUUUGAUGAUACUAGUUUUAUCACUGAACUUUG